rnacentral:rRNA from 1 species
GACGAACCGAGCGAACGUUAUUCGGAUUCACUGGGCUUAAAGGGUGCGUAGGCGGGCUGUCAAGUCUGGGGUGAAAUCCCACGGCUCAACCGUGGAACUGCCUUAGAUACUGAGGGCCUCGAGGAAGGUAGGGGCAUGCGGAACUGUAGGUGGAGCGGUGAAAUGCGUUGAUAUCUACAGGAACUCCGGUGGCGAAAGCGGCGUGCUGGACCUUUUCUGACGCUGAGGCACGAAAGCUAGGGGAGCAAACGGG